UCCGAAUGCUUUCUGUGGCUGCCAUGCAUCCUGCUCGUGCCCAUGAGGCCAUCAUUUCCCCCAGGUAUCAGACAUUGUAGGCUCUUGCCAACCUGAGGUGGAGGCAGGUCCUGGACUGUCGUUAAAGAGCUCUGGCUUGCAGUUUGAGGAAGCUGAACACAGAGAAGGUCCAGAAAAUGAACGGAAAACAAGGGCGCCCCCUGUGGGUGAGAGUGGAACUGCAUUAAUGGCUCCCCUGGGCACGGCCUUUUAGAUCAAGGAAGCCCCUCCCCACAAAGCCAGCACAGACCCAGCCCUCCCGAGAGGGCAGCCCCAGAGGCCUGGAGGGUUCAUGGUCCAGGACCACUGCUACCUCUGCACCGGCGCUCCCCUCCUGCGGUCCUCACCCCGCUUCCCCACCCCAAGUCCUCAGGAGGCCUCCUCAGGUGCCCACCAAGCCCGCUCUCCUGGUUACUGUGCCCAUGGCAGGUGGCACGGUCCCACGCAGAGCCUAGCCCCUCUGAAUGUGUGAGUGCCUCCCCAUCAGACUGCGAGGGCAGGUGGGAGCUGUUCCCGGGAGAUGGAGGAUCGCCCACACCUGGCACCGCGCGCUCGGUCCGCGGGGGCG